GAUGAACGCUGGCGGCGUGCCUAAUACAUGCAAGUCGAGCGAAUGGAUUAAGAGCUUGCUCUUAUGAAGUUAGCGGCGGACGGGUGAGUAACACGUGGGUAACCUGCCCAUAAGACUGGGAUAACUCCGGGAAACCGGGGCUAAUACCGGAUAACAUUUUGAACCGCAUGGUUCGAAAUUGAAAGGCGGCUUCGGCUGUCACUUAUGGAUGGACCCGCGUCGCAUUAGCUAGUUGGUGAGGUAACGGCUCACCAAGGCAACGAUGCGUAGCCGAGCUGAGAGGGUGAUCGGCCACCCUGGGACUGAGAACCGGCCCAGACUCCUACGGGAGGCAGCAGUAGGGAAUCUUCCGCAAUGGACGAAAGUCUGACGGAGCAACGCCGCGUGAGUGAUGAAGGCUUUCGGGUCGUAAAACUCUGUUGUUAGGGAAGAACAAGUGCUAGUUGAAUAAGCUGGCACCUUGACGGUACCUAACCAGAAAGCCACGGUUAACUACGUGCCAGCCGCCGCAGUAA
rnacentral:rRNA from 1 species